AUUUGCACAUACUUUGACACAUCACCAGGGAUCAAUCAUAAUCAUUCAUUUCAUGUUGGACAGAACAGCAGAACAUCAAACUGGAGAGUCAUCAUUUGUCUCACGGCAGGUAAAUGAUGUUGUGUCUAUUAGUUCCUCUCGUCUUGACUGUCCUCCUGACUGAGACAUCUGCUUCACUGUCAUCUUCAGGGACGGAGCAGGUCUUUUCAUGCCCACCUCGGUGGCUCCUGUUUGGUCAGAGAUGCUUCGCUUUCUACCCUGUGUGGAGCUCCUGGAGCAUGCCGAUGUAAACUGAAGAUAUAACACAUUUAAGUUUAUAAAACAGAAGAUUCAGUAUUACAUGGUUUUGAUGUGGUUUUGAGUGUGUGUGUGUGUGUGUAUG